rnacentral:lncRNA from 1 species
UGGAGAGAGGUUGUGAAGGGAAGGAGCAUCAUACUCUGUUUCACGAGGAUUCUUCUAGCAUCAAGGGGAUUUGGUUAUUCUACAAACAUCAAACACUACAAGCUUCAGUCCUAUGGUUUCUAUUCCUUAGGCCAUGUUCUUAGUUCUAAAUGAAGGGAGGAGUUCUUGACCUCUAUUUAUAGUAGAAAGGAUGAUGUGCGGCCACGGGGAUACAGGGAACCUGUGAACAAAGAUGACAAAGGAAUCCUUCAGCUUUCUCGAUUUGUGAAGGAAACAAUACUCUUGUGUUUGGCUUGGAGUGGUAAUAGAUAAGGAUGGGAACAAAUACUGUUGAGUCAAAUCAAGAGUAUAGCUGAUCGCAUUCAAUGUAAAGAAAUUUUACAAAAGUGGCGCGCAAACUAACAGAAGAAGGAUUUAUAUUGUUUCUUACAAGACCUUUUCAAUGGCCUAUACCGCACGCAGGCGGAUCUGGUCAACAUCAGCUAUCAGCUGGAGGUCUUCUUCAAUGGACCCUGAGACUUUGCUGAUGCUCUGGUGCUGGCGGUGGCCAGAAGCGGCCAAUUCCCUCGUCUUCUCUUGAAUUGCUAUAGGAUAAUUGUUGAUUUGCUCUUUAGCCACUGCAAUUUCUUGGUCCACUUGGUCCAAUUCGCGUAUCAGUUGAUCCUGCUUGGCUUCCAAAGUCUUGAAGUGUUCCUCUACAGCCAAGGCUGAGGUGACGAGCUCAUCAACAUGUUGUUUUAAUU